CUCCAGCUGACGAGUCUCAGACAGGACGAAACGUGCGUCUUAGAU
rfam:Schistosoma mansoni strain Puerto Rico chromosome 3, complete genome